UACGGGGGGGGCAAGCGUUGUUCGGAAUUACUGGGCGUAAAGGGCUCGUAGGCGGCCAACUAAGUCGGAUGUGAAAUCCCCAGGCUUAACCUGGGAUCUGCAUCCGAUACUGGAUGGCUUGAAUCCGGGAGAGGGAUGCAGAAUUCCAGGUGUAGCGGUGAAAUGCGUAGAUAUCUGGAGGAAUACCGGUGGCGAAGGCGGCAUCCUGGACCGGCAUUGACGCUGAUGAGCGAAAGCUAGGGGAGCAAACGGG
rnacentral:rRNA from 1 species